GGAGGGUGCGAGCGUUGUUCGGAAUUACUGGGCGUAAAGCGCGUGUAGGCGGCCUUGCAAGUCAGGCGUGAAAGCCCUCGGCUUAACCGGGGAAGUGCGUCUGAAACUGCUUGGCUUGAGUACGGGAGAGGGAGGCGGAAUUCCCAGUGUAGAGGUGAAAUUCGUAGAUAUUGGGAGGAACACCGGUGGCGAAAGCGGCCUCCUGGACCGAUACUGACGCUGAGACGCGAAAGCGUGGGGAGCAAACAGGAUUAGAUACCCUGGUAGUCCACGCGGUAAAUGAUGGGCACUAGGUGUGGGGGGUAUCCACUCCUCCCGUGCCGAAGCUAACGCAUUAAGUGCCCCGCCUGGGGAGUACGGCCGCAAGGUUA
rnacentral:rRNA from 1 species